rnacentral:rRNA from 1 species
ACCGGUGAGGCGGAAAGCGUAAUAUGGUGAAGUUACCAUAAAGUAAAAGAAAUAUAAAAAUACGCGAUAUAAAGUGCCGACACGAUGCAAGGAGGCGGCACCGGAGGAGUUGAGUAUUGAGUGUUAGGGCUUAGCUUAGCGGCGGACGGGUGAGUAACGCGUGAGCAACCUGCCUUAUACAGCGGGAUAACAGGUGGAAACACUUGCUAAUACCGCAUGAGACCACGCUACCGCAUGGUAGAGGGGUCAAAGGGGGAACCCGGUAUAAGAUGGGCUCGCGUCCCAUUAGCUAGUUGGUGAGGUAACGGCUCACCAAGGCGACGAUGGGUAGCCGACCUGAGAGGGUGACCGGCCACACUGGGACUGGGACACGGCCCAGACUCCUACGGGAGGCAGCAGUGGGGAAUAUUGCGCAAUGGGGGGAACCCUGACGCAGCGACGCCGCGUGAGUGAAGAAGGCCUUCGGGUCGUAAAACUCUGUCAUUGGGGAAGAAGUUAGUGACGGUACCCAAUGAGGAAGCCCCGGCUAACUACGUG